rnacentral:misc_RNA from 1 species
CAGAUGGGUAUAAGGGACAGGUGAGUCAUCGAAUCUUUGAACGCACAUUGCGCCCUGUGGUAUUCCGCAGGGCAUGCCUGUUCGAGCGUCAGUACAACACUCAAGCCUAGCUUGGUCUUGGGCCUCGCCGGAGACGGCGGGCCUUAAAAUCAGUGGCGGCGCCUGUUAGGCCCUAAGCGUAGUAAUACUCCUCGCUACAGGGACCCGGCAGACGCUGGCCAGCAACCCCCAACUUUCUAAGUUUGACCUCGGAUCAGGUAGGGAUACCCGCUGAACUUAAGCAUAUCAAUAAGCGGAGGA